UUCAGAAAAAGAAUGGGCCGGAACAAUGAAAAGGUUAAGGAUAAAAAGAAGGAGAGGAAGAUGAUGAGUGAAAGAAUGAAUGUCGGCUGGGCUAACGUGAAGAAGGCAAACUCCCAGACUGACCCUCUCGAUUCUCUGCCUUCAUUUAGGAAGAUAAAUAAAAAUGGAAUGAGUUUAAAUCUCGAGACAGCGAGAGCUACUGAGUUAAAUGAAGACACGAAGGAUUGGAUGUUUAAACUUCUAGAAUCCAACAUGAAGACUGCAUAUCAAAAGUCUGACUGGGGUUGGAAUGAAGGAAACAAGAAGGCUGAACUAUUUGAAGAAGCAGCCUGGUUCUUGAUUGCGCGGAAUGAUGAUGGAACUCCCAUUGCCUUUUCCCACUUCAGGUUUGAUAUGGAUUUUGAUGAUGAUGUGCUGUACUGCUACGAGAUACAACUAGAACCUGAGGUCCGAAGGAAGGGUUUAGGUCGCGUGAUGAUGAAAGUUCUCGAACUGAUAAUGAUGAAGGCAGACAUGAUAAAGAUCAUGCUUACAGUAUUUAAGCACAACGAGGCUGCUACCACCUUCUUCAAGAAAAGUUUGAAGUAUGAUGUGGAUGAAACAUGUCCGUACAAUACCAUCUACGAACAGUUUGAUUAUGAGAUUUUGUCCAGGUUUAAUCCUAAAAGAAAGGUGGAAGAUAACUCUGAAAAUAUUCCUCUCAACUAGUAUUCUACUCUUCUACACUAGAAACACAAACAAUUCUUAUGUACGAGUGCCGACCCGCACAGUAUUUAACCUUGCAGGGAGUACAACAUACGAUUCUAAUCAAUAGUGACCUUGUUUUGUACUAAAUCACUUAAAAACUAGUUGUAAAUAUCUGACUAAUAUCUCGAUGGUUUAGAACAUGUUGUUUCCCCGUAAAACAGGCAUUUGCCAUUAUUUGUGUCUCGCAUUGAAACUUUUAUUUUUUUAUUUUGAAAUUCAAGGUUUAAGAAUUCAUGGAUUCAUCAAAUUAAACUAUAUAUUAGUUUUCUAGAGAAUUUAUAAAUAAAUAGUACCCCAGCAGGGAUAGGGUUAAACAAUAUCAAUAACGCUUUCAUAGUUCCUAGGAAAUAUAUUUUUUUUUUACUUUUAA